rnacentral:lncRNA from 1 species
AUGAUAAAAGCUGAAAUGGAGGAAAUCGUCUUGAUUAUCAGGAUCUUUGCACAUUCGCUGCAUGAUCUGCCUCCUGCUUGUCUUCCCAGGUCAUCUCAUACCACUGUUGCAUCACUCCAGCUUUUCCAGGAGACUGCCAACAAGCACAGCCAGCUCUCAAGCUGUAUUGCGCAAAGAUUUGCAGCCCACAAAGAUCGGGAGUUUUUUCCAAAGGUAACGUCAAGGUCAUAAAAGCCCCUAAACAGCUGUUAGGGAGUAACAACGCUUAAGAAAACAGUGGCCUGUGUUAGCUCUUUGUUCUGUUAGCAGAGAAAUGCUCAUUUUGGUGGAUAAAGAGGAGAAAAAAGUCCUGUUAAUUCUAUCUUUCUUAAUCUACUUAUAAACUCGUAGUGACAAGUAUAUUCCUGAGAAAUAAAGCUGCACGAGCAGUGUUUGUGUUGUGAGUA